UGGGGAAUUUUGGACAAUGGGCGAAAGCCUGAUCCAGCAAUGCCGCGUGUGUGAAGAAGGCCUUCGGGUUGUAAAGCACUUUUGUCCGGAAAGAAAUCCUUGGCUCUAAUACAGUCGGGGGAUGACGGUACCGGAAGAAUAAGCACCGGCUAACUACGUGCCAGCAGCCGCGGUAAUACGUAGGGUGCAAGCGUUAAUCGGAAUUACUGGGCGUAAAGCGUGCGCAGGCGGUUUGCUAAGACCGAUGUGAAAUCCCCGGGCUCAACCUGGGAAACUGCAUUGGUGACUGGCAGGCUAGAGUAUGGCAGAGGGGGGUAGAAUUCCACGUGUAGCAGUGAAAUGCGUAGAGAUGUGGAGGAAUACCGAUGGCGAAGGCAGCCCCCCUGGGGCCAAUACUGACGCUCAUGCACGAAAAGCGUGGGGGAGCAAAACAGGAUUAGAUACCCUGGUAGUCCACGCCCUAAAACGAUGUCAACUAGUUGUUGGGGAUUCAUUUCCUUAGUAACGUAGCUAACGCGUGAAGUUGACCGCCUGGGGAGUACGGUCGCAAGAUUAAAACUUAAAUGAAUUGACGGGGUCAUAGCUGUUUCCU
rnacentral:rRNA from 1 species